rnacentral:lncRNA from 1 species
UUCCGUAAACACCACCAUCAUCCCCAUCAUCAUCUUCAUCUUCAUCUUCCACCAUUAAAGCUUUGAAAAUUUUAGAGAGAAAGAAAUGGGUGGAAGAUUGAAUCAUGGAUCAAGCUACAGGAGGAAUCAAGGAAGUAGAGGAAAGCAUCCUAACAAGAUCUAUUAACUCAUCCAACAUCUAAUAGGAAGAAUCAAAUAAGUAAGUUCUUGAAACUAAACCUCCAUUUUCCUCUUAAAGCUUCAGAUCUAGUAAGUAUUUGUGUAUGUUAAUGUUUCCGGAAUUGGUCUGUUUUAAAUCUAUGAGUUAGGAGUCCAUAAGGUCUAAAACCAACUCAUUUGGACAUGUAUUAUUAACUCAAGAUCUGAAGAUUUAAAGAAGAAUUGGUCUGAAAUCGAGCAAGAACAAAAACCUUACUGCCCAGUGACCAUUUUCCUUGGUCCGAGCGCCGCAGCGCCGUUUGAAAGAAAAAAUUGGGCACCGCAGCACCGCUUACAUGGUCAACUGGGAACCAGUCUCGGCGCCGCAACGCCGGAUGUUAGUUCAUUCCUGGCGUCGCAACGCCAGACCCUGGUCAGAGGCAUAGAUGAAUGUUUUAAUACAUAGCAAAGGAUAAUUGUUUUAUAAUCAUCCUAAAGACUAUUAUACCCUUAAUGAGAUAUAAUGGAAUAUCUUAAACACUUAUUAAAGCAUAAUGAGACAUAUUUGAGGAUUUUAAAUAGUUAAAUUGUUAUUAAGUAUCGUUUGAAAGAAGUGAAUUUAAAUUAUGACAUGAAGGUUUAUUUGACUAAUAUUAAUAAACCAUAUACACCUAUGGUGAUAAAAUAGAGAGUCUUAAAAUACUUAACUUCUUAUUAGGUAUUUAUUAAAGUAAGAAUGUGGAAGCUUGAUUAAAGAUUAAUUUAAUUAAUUUGUAUUAAUCUAAUAAACAUCCAAAAUGAUAUGGUGACUUAUAUAAAGGACUUAACUACAUGUUAAGUACUAAUUGAAAGAAAUACUUUGAAAGUAUAAGAUGAGAUUAAAAGACAAAAUUUAAAGAUUUAUUUGGAAGUUAAUUAGAUUAAUUUAAUUAAUCCAAUAUGCAAUUAGAAUGGUGUAAAGACAUGACAUAAGAACUUAAUUAAAUAUUAAGUGCUUAUUGAAUGAAAUAUUUUACAAGUAUGUGAUAAGAGUUACGUUAAUUAUCUUUAAUGAAUGUAAUCCAUCUAAAAGGAUGUAACAUUAAGUUAGGACGAAUUAACCGAACGUUAAGUGUCAAUUAAAAGAGAGGUAAGAGAGGAGUUAACUUAAUUAACGUUAACAACCACAUUUGAAAGCAGUCUUUAAAGGAUUAAUAAUAUUAGAUAAUGAUUAAAAUAUUAUUAAAUAAUUAAAAAUAUAAAUAAAUGAUUAAAAUAUUAUUAAAUAAUUGAUAAUAUUAGUAAAUAAUUAAAAUAUUAUUAAAUAAUUAAUAAUAUUAUGAAGUGAUUAAAAUAUUAUUAAAUGAUUAAUAAUAUUUGGAAAUGAUUAAGUUUUUAUUAAAUGUUAAGAAGUGACUAAAUAUAAUUAAGUGAUUAAUAAUAUUAAGCGACUAAAAUAUUAUUAAAGAAUUAAUAUAUAAUAUUAGACAAUAGUUUAAGAUGAUGAAUAAAUAAUAGUAAUAUUAUUGAGGUAUGAUAAUAUUACUAGUGAGUUAAAUAAUUAUUCAAUGUUUGAUUAUGUGGCUAAAUGUUACCUAAUUUAUUAUUUGAGUAAUAGAAUUAUGAGAUAAAGUGUAUUAUGCUAAUUGGAAGAUCAAUCUUAUUAUUGAGAGGUUUUUUCAAUAAAGAGAUUAAAUUAGAUUGCUUAGCGGUACAUAUAAGUUUCAUAACUCAAACUCGAGUUAUUAUGUUUCAAGCAUGCUAGUGGUUUAAUUAUUGACAAUUAUUCCACAUCUAUGAUUAUUGUCAUUCGCACUUAGUGCAAGUGCAUAUGUUCAUCGGGUAUGAAAGACUGAUCACCUUUAUUACCAAAGUAUUUGUUCAUGGUCGUUGUUGGUCACUUAGCAUUAUUUAUGCAGUUAUUGAUUUAUUAAAAUUUGAUUAUCAAUCUUUCACAAUUGUCAUAUAUUGUUGAAAAUUCAGAAAGCUAUAUUCUUUUCUUUCAAUCAUAACAUAUCUUUAUUAUAAUUAAACUUGCUGAGCAAAGUAGUUGCUCACCCUUGUUAUAUCGUGAUUAUAUUUUAGUUAAUCCCGAGUGAUUGAAGUAGAAUAAAGUCAAAGAAAAAGUUGGAGAACAGUUCCAUAUGAACCUUUAACUAUUAUAUUUAUGUAAGAUGAUCAUGUAAACCUUUUGAAUUAUUAAGGUAUGUAUUGAGUUAAGGUUGUAGACCUUAGGAAAUGAUGAAGAACCUUUUGUAUUGAACAAAUUAUGUUUAUAAUUCCACAUUAAUUUAUAGAAUAUGUAUGAAGAUGAUGUAUCGUAACACACUAGGUCCGAGGUUCAAGGGACCCAAAUUUGGGGGCGCUACAGUUGGCAAAGCUGAUAGAUUAUAAACCUUAGGUAGGAGUACCUUAGGCUAUAACCUUAGAGAUGAAGAUAUGGAUGAUAAGAAAUAAACUAAAAUAGAGUUUAAAGUGAUAAGAGAUGAAUUUUUAAAAAUUCUUUAUUAAGUAAAGAAGAAGAUAAAUAAGAUUCAAAGAAGAAUCUUGAAGAGUUAUAAAAAUAAGAAUUCAGAGUUACCUGACUCUAGUAAUAACAAUAAAAAGUAAUGAUAAAUAGACGUUGUGACGUCCCCAAAUUCAGACCUCCACUUGGUCACUCGAAUUUGGUUCAUCACAUUCUCAUGGUAAAACCAUAAUAACUAAAAUAACGCAUACACAACGGAAAAUGUAACGACCGAGAAAUUCGGAUCUUAUUGUAAAAUAAUUUUAUUAAAUUAAAUAAUAAUAAAAUUAUAUUCUAUGUGUUAUCAAGAUGGUUGUCAUUCUAUAACCUAUUGAUAUUGGAAUGUCGUAGUAUUUGAGCUACGUGAAGGAAUUAAAGUGUUUGAAUUUCUAAGACGAAAAUGAAAGUUUUCCGAGAAAUUUUCUGAAAAACACUAUUCAUCGGUAUUUGCUCGGGAGUUAUUUUUGAAUUUCCGAGAAAUACGUAAUGAUAGAAUAUUAAGGUAAGAUGGAUUAUGUAAUAAUAAUCUAGUUAUGGAAAACGUAAUAUUUCGCUUGUGGACUUAAGUUAUAAACGUUAAGAAAAGCGAAGUAGGAAUGAGUAAAGUAAUAAUUGUACAAUACUUUGGUAUUGUGCAAAGGAAUGAAAACAAGUGUAAUACGAAGUAUUAUACGAGUUUGUAUGAAGGAUGAAUUAUUGUAUAUAAAUUCUAUAUGAAUUAGAAUACUAGAAUGAUGCAUAAACUAUAUGUAUAUGUAUUAUGUAAUAUUAAUGGACUUGUAAAGAUUGGUUAAGAUUUUGUACAAGCCCAAGUCAAUUAAGGUUAAGGCCCAAUUAUUGAAUUAAUAAGCAAGUGAGUGUUUGUUAAAGCAAAGGCCACGAAUUUAUGUAAUCCAAGCCCAAGCUAGAAUCCAUGAGUUGGAAAACCCAUGGGGUAAACCAUAUUAAUGUGGUAAAUGUGUGGUUACCAAGUAUUAAAAGUGGUGACCAAGUUAAGUGGUAACCAAGUUAAAUGAGUAAUGACCAAGCAAGGGAUAGGUUUUGUGCCUUGCAAGUAAUGAAUAGUAAGGAGGUGCAAAAGGAGGUGGGAUGAUGGAAUUGACUAAAUUGCCUUAACCUUAGGAAUUCUAUAAAUAGUGAAGGUUGGCAAGUCAUUUAAUAGUUGUUCAAAUAAUCCAAACAAUUUCUCUCAAAGUGCUUAAUUGUUAGGAAGAUUAAGUUGCAAAUAAGCUACUUAUCUAAGAAGAAGAAGACUAUUUACCAAAGACUUCAAAUGUAAGACUCCUUCUCCAAUUAUCUUCUACCUCUAUCAUGAUAGGUUGAUAAGAAAAGUUUGGAUUAAGGAACAUGAAUGAUAAAAAGAAAGAAGUAUGUGUAAGUAAUGAACUUAAGCCAUAUAAGUUGGUAAUAAGUCAUUUAAGCUAGCAUAAGUUAUAAACUUAUGUGAAAGUAUUAUGAACUUGUAAUAAGUUUAUUAGUGAAGUAAUAUGGAAGAAAAAGAACUUGUAUGAUCAUAUGUAUCAAGUAUACAUAAGUAAAGCUAUAUGUUGAGAACAUAUAGGUAUGAUGCUUGAGAAACUUUAAUUAUCAUAAGUCAUGAAUGAUAAGUUCAUAAGUAGUUUAUAAUUUAUCAAGUUAUGAGCUUAUGAAGAAAUAAAGUCAAAAUCCAACCAUGAGUAUAAGUUGUUGGUAUAGGUAUAUUAAGAUGUUCACAUGAUGAAUGAAAUUCAUUUGUAAUGUUAAACAAAUCAUAAGAAUGAAGAUUUGCCGAAAAUCGCACGAUUAGACGAUAAUCGUCGAAUUCGUGAAAUUCCCGGAUUAGAGGUCAAAUUUUGAGUUUGAACUCGGAGAGGUUAUUUUCCAAUGGAGAUAAGUCAUGCUCGUCAUUUAAGAGUUGCGGACUCGAAAAUGAGUGAAUUCUGACUUAGAACGAAGAAACAAUCGUUGGACGUUCACGAACGUUUAUCGUUUACGUUAAAAAUGAACCAAUAGGUGAAUUUUUAGCAAACGAAGUCGAAUAGAUAAAAUUCUUGCAUGAACGUGUAGAUUACGUAAUUUGUGAACCAUGGGCUUUUGAACGAGCCAAUUCAGACUUAUGACGAAGGAGUUAUGCGCCUGGGAAGUUCGCAAAAUUUCAAAGACUGAAUUUUUUUCUGGUGCACAGAGUUGGCGCCGCGGCGCCAACCCUAGACCAAAUUGGUCACGCCGCAGCGCUGAGCAGUAUCCGAGCACACUGGAAACUCGCGCCGCAGCGCGACCCAUUAAGUAAGGACUCGCGCCGCAUCGCCAAGUCCGGGACUCCCAUACUGUUAACUCGCGCCGCAGCUCGAGCUGUAGUUAUAAAGCUGGCGCCGCAGCGCCAGUCUUUGAUGGAAAUAGUGAAGAAUAGACAUGAGUGUAAAGCAAGAAAAUGUAAUUAGUUUGAAGUAAACCUACCUUAAGGAACUUGAAGUAACAUUAUUAAAACAUUGUUAGACCUUAAGAGUAAUGUGUAAAGGUUGAUAAUAAUUUAUCCAUUUAUGAAUGCAAAUAGAAUGAUAAAGCCGGAAGAGGUAAUAAUGAAAUCUAAUACACAAUUAGAUUGAGAUGAAGGGUAAGAUAUAGUCAGAUACAUACUUGAUUAUAUGUGACCUAAUGUAAGGCAUUAUGUGAUCAUGUAUUGUAUAGACUUGAAAGACUUGAACGUAAAGUAAUUACAUAGUAGUAGACACUAAAGGCAAGUAUUCUAACUCUUGUCUCAGUUCAAUCUGAACAAGUUUUUGAAGUUCAUGUAUCCUUACGCAUGAAUUGAAGUACAAUGAAGUUAAAGCCAGUUCUUUUGGCUAGACUUGACAUAUUGAGUGGAUUGUUGAUAAUCUAUUCAUCUGUUAUCAAAUCUGAUUAUCUUUUGUCAACUACUUGAUAUGGUUUUCAAAAGAAGACUGAAAUGUUAAACAAAUGUUGUCAGUAAAAUGACAAGCACGUGAGGUUGCCAAAUGAUUAAACGUACAUACGUUUAAUGGAUGUAGUGUUGAUCAACAUAGAGUACAAUAGGAUGAUCACCUAGAAGUGCUCGUAAGUAAUAAUGGGCUUACGGACUGAGUUCCAGGUUGUCCUUUUUAAAGAAAGAAUGAAUACUCGUGGUCUUUGACCGGAGUGUAUGUUUUACUGAAUAAUAUUCAUUGUGAAAUAUUUUGAAAGAAAGAUGAAGUGCUAUUUUGAAUCAUCAAUAGUACUUCAUAACUAUUGUUCAGUUAUCGAAGAUAUACAAUUCAUAUGUAUCAAGCAUGUUGUUAUUGAAAUUGGUAUACUUGUUGAGCUAGUUAUGCUCACUAUUGCUUGAACCAUAUGAAUGCAGGUAAGACUGAACGUCCCAAAGGAUCGAAUAAGGAUAAAGGAAAAUCUAAGGCAGAUUAUUAAGCUGUCUUGUAAUAGUAUAGGGUUAUUGUUGUAAUGUAAUGAAUAUUAUGACAAAGAACCUUUGUAAUGGGUUUAGAACAUGGGGAAAUGUAAAUAUUAAUUUGAAUAUAUAGAGGUUAUGUUCGUUCUUUGAGACUCUUCAAUUGAAUAAAUGUAUGAAUGUUUGUACAGUAUAGCACCAUCUGUCGGGUUGUAAGAUACCCGGAUUUGGGGGCGCUACAGAAAAUCUACUUUAGAAUAAUAUACAAUGAUUUAUUAUAAUUAUUCUCCCAAGUCUCGCAACCUACAGUGCUUAAUAGAUUACAUAAUAAUAUCGAAUAAAGACUUAUUACAUAAUCUUACAUAAGCUUAAACAUAGUCUGAAAUAGUCUUAAUACAUCAUAAUAGAUUUUAAACAUAAAAGGGAGAAGCUAGUUGGUAGCCUUUCCCUUGCCCUUGUCCUGCCCGGAUACACUUCCCUGUUCUGCUUUAACUGAAAGGUUUUUAAAAGCAAGGAUGAACACAACUUUCCCAGCAAGUAAUAAACAACAAGGGUGUAGGAUAUAAUAUCACAAGUUUUGAAAUAUCGAAGUGUCAUCUCUAGGAUAGUUCAGAGUUUUAGAAUAAUAUCAUGAAUAAUGAAUAUCAACAAUUCUUGGAAUAAGAAAGAUAAUUCAAUAUAAAUCAACAGAUAUAUAUAUGAAUUCAACGACUAUCAACGUAUCCAAUUGGAUAAUCAAUUUAUACUGAACAGUCACUAAGGACUAUUGAACUUCCACUAGAGUUACCAAUACUAAACUGAUAACCCAAAAAUAUCAAGUACUAUAGAUGAUCAGUCUACAAUACUUUACGUUAUGCAUAACACCACAAUAAUAUUCAUUCAUGUGUUGGGGUUUCUAACGACAUACACUCCCCUUACCAAAAGGGUUGUCCAACUCAGUUUUUAAGAUUUUUGCACCAAUCAAUUGGUUUGGACAUCUUUUAUAAACAUGCAUAUAGUCUAGCCGAAUUAAAUGGCAUGGACUCUUUCACAAUAUUCAAGAACAAUACUAAGUUUAACAUGAAUAAUAACUUUCACAAGGGUUUAAACAUACUAGCUCAUUUGAACGAGAAAGUAGUAUAACUUGUAUUUAAUGAGAUAAGCUUACUGUAUUCGUCGAAUAAAGAAUACAAAGAUACUUGCUUAAUAUAAAUUUGAGUAAGGUUAGAGAAACUUGCACAAUCAAAGAGUGAAGUUCAAGAAAAACUUGCCUUAAGCGUAGUUUAUCCACUUUAAGAAAUCAACACUUUAGAAUCCUAGUAUAACAUAUUAUAAGUAUACAAUGUUCAUUAGCUAACAUAGUCUUUAAUUAAGUUCGACAUGAUUCAAGUAUGCACAUAUGGUACAAGAUCAGUUUAUAAGUCAUCAUGAAUCAAAUAUUUAGUUACUUCAUAAGCAAAUUAAGUCCUCCUUACUCAUGGACUUUCCAUUACAAUACAACAUCAACCUAAGCAUCACACACAUAAACACACACACACACACACACACACUCACACACACACACACAAACACACACACACAUAUAUAUAUAUAUAUAUAUAUAUANNNNNNNNNNNNNNNNNNNNNNNNNNNNNNNNNNNNNNNNNNNNNNNNNNNNNNNNNNNNNNNNNNNNNNNNNNNNNNNNNNNNNNNNNNNNNNNNNNNNCGCCAUGGCUAUGCCAAGGACCGGCGCAGCUGCGCCGUCCUCUGGCCAUGCCAAGACUCAAUUGCUGCCUUGUGGUUUCUGUCCGACUUGACCAAAACAAUCACACAUAAUAUAUUUGUCAUGUUAAAGGUCUUUUCAUGCUCCUCAAGUCAAUCUAGGUUCCCUUUUAUAAUAUAUUUCUAAAUUAAACAUUUCAACCAUUUAAGGCCAUUCGGGGUCAUGAACUCAUAAGGUCUAUCAUGCUUGCUUUCUAAACAUACAAGAUAGUUAUAAAACUCAUAUUAGGCAUGCUUGUGUGUAUUCAUAACACAUACGUGAAACUAACACCGCUUUAGUUGAAAAUAGGCUUCGUUCAUGCUUUUCUUGAAAUGUGCUACAAAAGCAUGGUAUAUAUAUGUUUAUGCUACAUGAGCGAGCCUAAGAGUGUCAUCAAACAUGAUCACAAAUGUUAGAUUCUAGUCCUCAUGGUAUCUUGACAAUAUUCACAUUCAAAGCUUGCUAGUAGGUUCAACAUGCUCAUGUUUCCUUACUAAUCAAAUAAACAAAAGCUAAAGGUUUAUUCAUGCAUUUCAAAGUCAUACUCACAUGCUUUCAAAGUCAAAAUAUAAACCAUGUAGAAAUCAUGCAUGUUAGUUCACUAGGCUAAGCUUUUUAUUGAAAAUAUUUCUAACACAAGGCUUAGUACAUUUGAUCAUGCUCAAAGGGACUAUGUACACUACAACAUGCUCAUCUAUGUGCAAAAUCAGUCAUGCAUAGCUUACUAUAGGGUCACAAUUUGUAGAACAUGAUCAUUAGCAUAGUUUGUUUUCAAAACUUAGUCCAAAUCUCCAUGUAAACCAUAUACUUUCGUUAAUCAUGCAAACCUAUUAAAACAUGUUCCACUUAGCAUAAUAUACAUGCACAUACACAUUACACAUGCUUGCAUGCUAUAAUAAGUCAUAGUACUAUAUCGCCUCAAUACAAAUAUGGCACAGCUGCGCCGUGCCUGGUUUGAGCCAAGAACCGUCUGCUUCAGCAACUGUUUAGCCCAACCUCAAAAAUUACUCACAAUUUCGAUUCUAAAUACUCAUAUAUCAGUUUAAAUAUCCUUAUAUGGUCAUAUAACAACUAUAUGGACAUCACCCAACCUCAUUAACAUGCAAUUCCACAAAAUCAAGGAUUUGAAUUACAAGAACUCAAGACUCCAUUUUUACAGAAAAUGAAAAGGGAAGCAAGGAAAAGGGAUUAUGCCUCUGCAAAUGUGAAAAUAACUUGCUCCAAAUGAACUUCUAAGCUCUAGAUUACUUGUAUGCUCUCAACUUUAUUACUUAGCAAAUCUCAGACAAAUCUUAGCAACAAGAAUGAAGAAGUAUAGCUGCUAUUUAUAGAGGAACACAAAUCCAGACAUUGCAUUUUCCCAUUGAAUCAAACUCAUGUGUUAAGGGAUUGCAUGAAGGUUAUAGAGGAGUUGUUAGAUUGGUUGUUGGAACUCAUCAUAAUCACCACUCCCCCAUGAUCAUGAGCUAGGGAAUAGGAAGAAAAUGAAGAACAUAGGCUAGCCUUUUUGGUUUAUACGUAACUGAGAAAUGAGGCAAUUGGACACUCAUUUUGGGACAAAUAAAUUAACUCAGUAUGUUUGUUAUCUAGGCUUGGUUUGGUCUACUCAAUUCCCACAAUGAAAUCUUAAUGCACAAUUGUUACCAUAUAAGGAAUUUAGGGAUUAAUUAUACACUCACAUCAUAUAGUCCAUGUACAUUAAAUAUACGCAAUAAAAUAAUGCAGUCACAUAUUAUUGUCCGGGUAGUUCCAUAAUUAUCCCUACCACUCAAAUAAUUAUAUAAUAACCUUAUUAUAUUAAUAACUUAUUUAUUUAUGUUAAAUAAAUAAAUUUAUUCAUUCCCUUGAUUAAUUACCACUUAAUAUAAUAUAGAUUCAUAGAACUUAAUAUAUAGUCACAUAAAUAUCACACUGCACUAUAUAAUAUAGUUAUAUUAUUGCUCUUAUGCACAUAACUGUUAACCUACUAUUAUCAUAUAAAUAAAUAAAUAAUUUAUUCACUUCCUUGAUUAAUUCACACCAAUAUUAAUUAAUCCAAUCGUCAUCGAUCAAUGUAUUUAUGAAUUUCCAUAAUCAUUAUUUAUCUAUGAAAUUCUCAUUAUAUUGCAAAUAAUAGUAAUCACACAUUAUUAGUUAAUUACUAAGAAUUCAAUAUUCUUCCACAACCAUUAUCAAUAUAACAAUUAACAAUUAAUAUAGGUUAUUUACGCACUAUUUCAUAGUUCAUUAAUGUCACACAAAUCACAUAAUUGCUUCAUUUAAUUUUCAAAGUAGAAAAAUUUAUUUUUUUCUCCAACUGACCACUGGCGCAGUUGCGCCAGUUUGUACUGCUGGGACGGCGCAGCUGCGCCGUUCCUUGAUAGUGCCAAGACUGGUUUAGCUUCGGCCCGUGUCAAUUUUCAUCGCUAAACUCGCUUUAUACGACAUGAAUUACUGUCCACGACCGUGCUACUACGAGUCUACGAGUGUAUUGAUUACUUUAUAUGAAAUUACCUGAUCAUUACGAUUAAUCUUCUUAGCUCUCGUUUUAAUUUGCUUAGUGAAUUUUCUCGUUUCACAUUAUGCCACACAAGGCAUUUCAAAAUUCUCAUUGUCAAUCCACACUUCUUAAUACACAUUGAUCUAAAUAUGAAUCAAUUGAAUUAACCAACUCACAAAACAUCAACACUUAUAUUCACAUAAAUAUUAUUUCCAUUAAUAUAUUCAUUUAAUAAUGUGUGGAAAUUCUCGGGUAUUACAGACGUUGUCUAUAAGAUGAAAAGUUUAAAUAAAAUCAUAAUAUAAUAUGAUUAAGAAGAAUAUUAAAGAAGAUCGUAGAAUAAAAUGAUCGUAAGUAUAAGGAGAAAUAAUUACAAAAUAAGAUUACGACGUGAUCAGAUUGAAUUAUUGAAUAACAUAUGAUAUGUUAAACAAUUGGAAUGGUAUAGGCCGACGCUAUACAGAGAAUGUACUAUAAAAUUGUAUGAUGUAAACUCAUGAAAGAGUGGUAUAUGCUAAGAUACAAAUUAAAGAAAAUUCGUAUUGUGAAAAGAGGAAACUACGAUUAUGUGGGAUUUUAUUUAAGGACUCAUGUUAGUGGCUAAGUUGUACGAGUCCUUGUAUGGGCGAUGAAUUUGUGCUUGGUUUGAGAAUCACUUAGCUUCCUAUAUUGAUAUAGUGGUUGAGUAGAACAAUUCCUUGUAUGGGCAAGGGAAUUAUCAUUGGUUUAACAAUCGCUUAACUUCCUAUAUUGAUUAGUGGUUGAGUUGACCAAUUCCUUGUAUGGGCAGGAGAUUGUGUUGGGUUUAACAACCACUUAGCUUCCUAUAUUGAUAAUCAUUGUAACUUGGUGUCACGCUAUUCUCUAUAUGUAUGUUGAAAAAGUGAUUCUUUUCUCAUGUGUAUAUCAAAUAGGCAGAGAAUAUAAGAAUUAGGUGUGAGUUCUUAAAACUCAUACUUAUGGUAAGUUUAUGACUCAUAAUCGUAUGGUUUUUGAACCCCUAAGCGUAUGGAUAGUUCCUAAUUGGUUCUUGGACUACGUAUUGCUAGGACAAGUUCCUAAACUUAUAUUAAUGUGGAAAGUUUCUGAACUCAUAACGUGUGGUAUGUUUGAUAAACUAUACUGGAGUAUAUAAAAGUGGUGAAUUUAGAACUGAGGAUUUUCAGUGUAGUAAGCUUUAAGGAUGAUAAAAAUAGAUAGAACUAUUAAGCAAUGAAGUAUUGGAGAAAAAUUGUAGUUGAUGGAGGAAGCAUAGGUAUUACAAAUCUUUUAGCUAUGCUAGAUUUCGAAUUUAUUGACAUCAUGAUAAUAAAAAUAUUUUUGAAAAUUAUGUUGGAUCAAUUAUUGAACCAAUGAGUUUUUAAAAAGUUCUAUUAAUCAUAUGUCAAUGCUAAUUGUUUCAGUUAAGAAAAAAAUGAUUUAAAGAUAUCAAAAUGUAUCUACUUUUUAAAUAGUCAUCAAUACAUCAUGAAACCUGGUGUAGAAUGACAGAUGAUGGAGUUAUCAAUAUAGAAUUUCCUAGUGUUGAAUGUGAUCUAAGGAUCAUCAGCCCACUAUGGUAUGUUGUAGUAUAACACAAUCACAGAAUGACGGAAUCCUCAACGGAUUAUAAAGACAGCGUUGUAUCAUGACGUUAUAAAAUGAUUUUAAGGAUUUGGAACCAGUUAAAGAAAUGUCAAUACAAAUUAAAGUGGCUAGAAAAAUGUUUCGAUUGAUGCUCGAAUUGUUGAUGUACGUCUAAGCUAUUUGAUUUAGUAAGAAAAUUUUUCACGAAAAUUCAAUCACUUCUUUCAAAAUUUAUCCCGAACCAAAUUAUUUUGGUGCAAAAUUUUAUGUUAAGUUUGAGGUGAACACGUAACAAUCCAGAAUUUUAAUUGUAAUUUCAAAUAUUUUAUGAGUUGGGAGAAUUAACUUAAUUAAGGUAAUAUGUUAAAUUAAGUUGAUAAUUGGUAAUUUGGUAUUUUAAAGUUAAUUAAAAUAAAAGAGUGAUGAAUUAAUUAUUAUGAGAUAAUAUUCUAAUUUAAUUUAAUAAUUAAAUUAGAGAUUUGAUAAGGAUUAAACGAAUUGUUAUAAUGUUGUUUUAAUUUAAUUUAGUAAUGAAAGUAAUGUACUAAAUUAUUACAUAAAAUUAUAAGGAAACUAUAAUUUUGUGGCAAGUUGAUUUACUAAGUUGUUAUUAGUUUUGAUUUAAUUAAAUUUUUAUAUAUGGGAAUUUAAUUAAAUAAAGUGUGACAAUAAACUAUAUUGUAAUUGAGUUAUUAAAAUAAGUUAAAAAGAGUUUUAAAUAAGUUUUACCAAACAAGCUUAAGGGCUUGUUAAUCCUUAUUUUUUUUUAAAUUUGUUUUGCCAAACAAGCCCUAGUGGCUUUUGAAUUUAAAAAGAAAAAAAAUAAUAAUUGACAUAUAUUAAACGGGGGAUUUAUGUUUUAUCAGUUAUAUUACUUAAUAAAUGUGACACCCCCAAAUCCGGGUACUUCAAUUCUGACGGGAUUUGGUGUUCACUGUCCAAACAUUAUAUACCUAUCUACCCAUAAUAAAUGAAAAAUUAUAAAUAGAUAGAAAUAAAUCCUCUCCUUAUGGAGUUACAACAUCUGAUUUAAAUACAUCAAUCACAGGUCAUACUAACCUUAAAUCUCAAAUGCAGAAACAAAUAAUAAGUCUUACACAACUUAAACAUAAGUCUGAAACAUAAUAUAACAAAUAAACGACAAGUCUUCAUCACUUGUUGACCUUGCCCUUGCCUUUGCUAGUAGAAGGCUCGUCAAACUGUUCAUUCUUAACUGCAAUGUUAUUAUUACGCAAGAGUGGGCACGAUUGCCCAUAAGUAUAAUAAUAUAACAACAAUAUAAUAACAUGCGAGUGAAUCAAAGACUUCUGAAAUAAGAAACUCGACUUUUGAAUCAAAAAUGAAUAAUAAGAAUCAAAAGAACUUCUGAGGGUCCUAAGACCUUGAACUAUGUCCUAGGUUGUCAAGUGUUUAUACUUGAAACCUUUAAUAGUCAUAAGACUAUGAACUCUUCUUCUCAUACUUAGGGGGAUAAACCCUUAGUAUUAUACUGUGCACAAUAUCUUAACGCUAAAGCAUAAUUAAUCCCCUAUAAUAGGGUUGUUCAUCUUAGUCUGACGUUAGAGUCCGCACCAAAGGAAGUUUUGUUUGGAUAUGCUCAACAAGGGUUCUGAAAUUUAGAACAUUCAUCAACUAUGGACUAGUCGAAUCAAUAAGGGUUCACUAGUCUUACAAGGUUUAACAAUAAAUGAUAUUCAAUUUGAAUAAUAAACUUAAGAGGUAUACAAUCGAAUAAGUAUUGUAUAACAGGGAUCAUGCUUUAAAAGAAUGAUAGUUUCUAAUAUGAAAUCUUGAACUUGAUCAAUAAAUAACAAGAACUUGCUCGACAUAGAAUAUAAGUCUAGAACUUGCUCAAUCGAAAAAUUUAGAAUUUAAAGAAACUUAUUCCAUAAAAGUAAAGUUUUGAGUAAGGAAACUUGCUCAAUGUAAAGAGAUAAGGUUUAAAAACUUGCCUCAUGCGUAGAUUACACGUUAACUAUUCACGUUCCUCAAUUUAAUCCUACAUACCAUUUACAUUCAAAAUACUAGUUAAUUAUGAUGUAACUAGUAUCAUAAGUUCAUUCUUUUUGCACUAAACUCUGAUAAUAACAUUAAUUUUAACACAUUAUUAGACCUCAUGAACGACGAGCUAAAUAUGCAUUCGACAAAUCAAUUAAACAUGUAAAUACCUUAUUAACAUGUUAAGAAUCUAUUUUAACAUCACUUUAUAUGUCUAAUACAUUUUUAUAUUCAUUAGAUUAGGUUACAAUUACAUUUCCUGAACUUGAACAAUUAAAAAUUUUAUUUCUAGGAAAAACUGCAGAGUGGCGCUGCAGCUCCACUACUUGAACUGUAUCUGGCACUGUAGCUCCACUAAUUAAGGUAAGACUGGCACUGCAGCUCGGACUAUAGGCCUAAGUCUGGCGCUGCAGCGCGACUGGCACUGCAACUCGGAUCUUAAGCCUGGAUGUGUCGCUGUAGUGCGACACGCCAGUUCCAGAAUCUGAAGUUUGCGAAAAAACACAAAACAUGGCCAAAACUUCAAAUUUCUUUGUUUAUACAGUAAUUUAAGCCAGAUAUUAUAAUUCAUAUAUGAUCAUUACCCAACCUUUCUAGCAUGAUUUUAACAAUUUAAAUGUAACGCCUGAGAAAAUUGAAUUUUUAUAUGAAUUAUUUUUUUUUUGAUUUUGUGGAUUAAAUGAAUUUAAUUGAUUAUUUAUGUGAGUAUGCUAUAUGAAGGUCGUUCUAUGACCUAGAAUGUGCGAAUGUGGUUAGGAUUCUGGCUAUGUGCUAGAAUUAAUUGUUUUGAAUUUCCAAGACAAAAAUAAAAGUUUUCCGAGAAAUUUUUGUGAAAACACUAUUCAUUCAUUUCUGCUCGGGAAUUAAGUUUGAGAUUCUGAGAAACGCGUAAUGAUAGAAUUCUAAGACGAGAUGGAAUAUCCAAUAAUAUUUCAGUUAUGACAAAUGAAGUUUUCGCUUGCGAACUUAAAACCUAAAGGUCAGGGAAAGUGAUUUUUGAGAAGGAAAUGAAAUGCGUAUAAUGAUUAAGGUUAUUAUACAUGUGAUAUAUGAGUAUGAUACUAGUUAGUAUACAAAUAUAGUAUGAAGAUUAAUACGCCGUAUAAAACGAAUAUCGUACAAAUACUAUACGAAGAGAAUACGUGAGUUAUACGAGUAGAAUACGAUUAGUUCUUAAUGGACUUUGAGUUUAUGGACUUUAUAGAAUUCAAUUGGACUUGGAUUAUAUCAAGCCCAAUGUUUUGUGAAAUGAAGCCCAAGUAUGAGUAUUGUUAAGGCCCAAGGUUAGGUUAAAUCAAGCCUGAUCCAAGAAACCAAACCGUGGAUCGAACCGAUGGGUGGGGCAACCCAUGGGGGGACCCACAAGGCAUGUGGGCCGGCCACUUUGUGGCCAAGUAAAGGUUUACUUGGUGGUAAGUUAUUGUGGAGGUGGUGAAUAGUAAGGAGGUUACCAAAAGACCAUUUUACCCUCCAUUUGAAUUGCCUAUAUAAGAAAGCUUUAGUUGGUCAUUUGAUGUUUUACAAACAUUGACCAAUAUAAUUUGAGAGAGUGAAAGAGCAAGAAACAAGUAAUCAAGUUAGCUUGAAGCAAAUCAUAAGAGUUUUUAGCAACAAUGCGAAGAACGUAAAGGUAAUAACUCGUAAAACCUUAAUUUUUGAUUCGUUUAAAUUUAUUUUUCGUAGAGAAUCAUAAAUUGGUGGAUCAUGUCUCUUAUGGAGGAAUAAGGAUGGCUAAUAAUGAAUUAAAUAUUUAUAAGCCAUGUUUAAGUAGAAAUCGUAAGUGUUUAAGUAAGUUUAAACCGAAGAAACCAUUGAACGUUGAUUUGGUUGUUGAUAGACAAAUUAAAAACCAUCAUUUAUAGGGUAUGUGAAUAUUUCUUGGUUAGGAUAUAGAAAAUGAAUAAAUGGAAUGGUUCCAUUUGAUUUGGUGUAUAAAACACGAGUAACGAAGUUAUGGCGAAUUUUACGAAAUUAGACGUUAAACGUUGAAAUCGUAUAAUUCCAGAUUAGUAGUCAAAACUUGCCAUUUAGUUUGGAAACCCUAGUUUUCAAUGGCAUAGAAUAGUAUAACGUAUUCAAGAGUCGUGGACUCAAGAACGGUCGAAUUCUGACUUAUAACGAAGAAAACAAUCUUUGAACGCUCAAGAACGUUUAACAAACACGUUAUUAGGACGUUAAUUGUGAAUUCAUCGUUAACGGAUUUAAAAAAUAUUUUUGUCCGGAUGAAAUUGAAGUAUAUGUUACAUGUAAGAAAACAGCUUUUGAAUGAGCCAGUUUCGGCUUAAAACGACUAAGUUAUGUGUCCGGGAAAGAUCGAAGUGGAAAAUAGAAAAAAAUUUCAAAGGUUCAGGGGAGGCGCCACAGUGCCAACCCACGCUAUAAUGGCCGCGCUGCAGCACCAGUAAUAUUACCUUUAGCUACUAGAGUGUGGCGCUGCAAAGCCACUAUUAUAAAGAGAUCUCGCGCUGCAACGCCGAGAUCGGACCUUAGCCAUUGUUAGUUGGCGUCACAGCGCCAAUAGUGUAUUGAUGUCUGGCGCCGCAGCGCCGGUAGUAGGAAUUUGUUGAACAAGUUGAUUUCUAAUCCCUAAUUAAUCGUAAACUAAUAGUGGAGCAUGUAUGUACUUAAUAUACAUCGUAAGACCAAUCUUAAAUCACUUAUUUAGUGAUGACUUUAGGAACUUGAGCAUUGUUGAAUAGAGAUUAAACGAAGACAAGAGAUAUACAGAAGUAAAAUGUAUUCGAACUUUGGUAAUUAACCAAUGAUGAUUGAGUCUCGGUUAGUAAUGUUGGACGUUAAGAAGCUGUAAUGAAGGAUAAUAAUUCGAAUUGACAUUUAUUAAUGAAAUAAAUUCACUUAAGACAUAGAAGAGAAAGAAGUUGGUAAAAAUAAUGUGAUUAGAUUGUUUGGUAGCUAAUUACAGUGCGCUAUGUGAAUAUAUCAUAUAGAUACUAUAAAGAACAAGAAUUGUUGAAUAUUUUAUUUGAAGACGAUUGAAGGAAAGUUUUCUAAAGCUUGUCUAACCUUCGUGUUAGCCAAGUUUCUGUGAUUCAUGUUAUGAGAUGCAUGAAUUGUUUUAUGAAAGGGUCAAUGCCAGUUUUAACUCAGCUAGACUAUUCUUAAGAGUUAGAUUGAUUUGUUUAACAAGUAUUUCAAGAUAGAAUUGUUAACGCUAUCCUAUGCCAAAUAUUUGGAACAGAUUCAAAGGUAAGUUUGUAUAUGAACAAACAAAUGUAUUUUUUAUCGAUUAUUCGAUGGGCACGUGAGGUUGCCAAAAACUUAAAUGUAAAUACGUUUAAUCUAUGAGUAUUGAUCAACAUAGAGUACUAUAGGCUGAUCACCUAGAAGUGCUCGUAAGAAAUAUCGGACUUAUGAAGUUAGUGCUGGGAUGUCCUUUUUCAUGAAUGAAAACGAAAAGAGAAUGUUCAUGGUCUUUCGACCAGUUCAGAAUUUCCUAUUAAUCCUAAUUUUAUUAAACUAUUCAACUCAAUAAUUAUAAUUAAAGAUUCUAAAUUAAAGAAUAACAAACUACCACAAAACAUUCACAAAUAUCAAAAUCUGGAAUUUCAAACAAUUAAUGGAGAAUUAGAGUUAUGAUUUCACCCUAAGCUUCACUCUAAUUUUAACACCUUUAUUCCAAUUUAAUUCAUUAUCCCAGUUUAUUAAUCAACAACACGAACGUAGUAUUAACCACCUCUCGAUGCACUAAUACAGUAUUAACUUAAAUCCAGAAUUAAGAUAGAAACAAGUUAAACACUUUAAUCAACUAAUUCACUAUAUCUCUAUGUGAAUUACAAUUAAAGAAGGAUUAAAAUUAAGUUCUCUAACCGGUUACAUGCGAUGUCAAGCAUAUCUCUACCUUAACAUUCAUCAAGAUUCUGCUAUCCACAAAAGUCAUGAACACAUGCUAUAUUAACUAAGCCUAGAUUUGAAUAUCCUCUCUCGAUUCUAUACAAAUCCACAAAGAAUUGUUAAUCAGGCAAUUCAUAAAUUCAAGCUCAAAUUAAUAUAGAUAAACUGGAAAUAGAUUAUUGAGCCAAAAAUCAAAGUUAAAAAAUCAUUGAUUCACUCAAAGAUCCAUCAUAAGCCUAAAAAUUGAAUUAGUUCAUCAGAAACGAAGUAAACACUGAAUAAAUCAUAGAAAACAGUCUUUCAAUUACAAUUAAUAGCCUAAGAAGAAGAAUAUUGAAAAACAGCCUUCACGUAGCCUAAAAUUGCAAUCGUCUCGAAAAUCUCUUCGAAAUACUCCUCCAACGAUUGCUUAGAAAAACUGAGAUUAAUCUUCGUAAUGUGCCUUCUCUGUCUUUGAAUUCGUUGUUGAUAGAGUAAUAGAAGUCCAACACAUAAGUCCCAGCCUAAAUUCUCCACCAAGUAGAGUCCAUGUACAAUCCAAUAUGCUAGAAACCAUGUCAAAUAAGAGUUUCAAGCUCAACAUAAGUCAGUAGAAUUCGACACCCCCCGCCCCGGCGGGGGUGUAUGUACUAAAUAGGCCCGCCCCGGUGGGCUACCCUUCUGUUAAAUCCUGGUGAAAACCCCCCGCCCCGACGGGGGUAUACAUAGCAAACAGGCCCGCCCCGGCAGGGGUGUGUUUUGCUAAAUCACUUGCUGAGCUUCAUGACUUCUUCCAACUUUGCACCAAUUGACUCCAAAUCAUCCAAACUGACUCCAAAUAUACGUUAAAUGAUGCAACAACCAUCCUACACAUAAGAGAACAUAAAACAUGGAAAAAAAACCUGAACACAAGAAAUUAGCAACAAAUAAGUAUAAAAUGGACACCGAUUUGUGUAUAUAAAAUCCACUUAUCAAAAUCCCCCAAACUUAAAUUGUGCUAGUUCUCGAGCACAAAACAACUACAUGCUAUGCAAUGCAACAAGAUGAAAUGAAUAUGAUCUAAUUUAUAUGCUUUCGAAUCCAUCAGUAUUGCAAAAUCAAGAUUAUCUUAACGACCUUAGCGAAAUAAGCAACUAUACAAUAUCAAUCACCAAACCAAUCUACAAUUUUGCCUUAAUCCUCAAAUCUCAAACCAUCAUCACUGGUAUAGUGUGCGUGUGUGAUCAAAAUCUAUAAUAACUGCUACAGACUCAAAUUCAAUACAUAACCAAUUUUUUAGAAGGAAUUAUACAAUGCAAAAUUAAAAAUUCCAAAAAUAGACAGCUCCAACUAUAACUAAGCAAUUACUAAUCCCAGGGGUUCACACAGGGUACUUAUACUUUAUAUAUAUAUAGAUUUUUUUUCUUCUUCUUACGGGGGCUUUUUGCUCUUUUCCCAUUUUAUUCAUCUCUUUUUAUAUAUAUAUACAUACAUGACUGUGCAAUGUCUCAUCCCAUUAGGCUGAUAGUGCUACCCCUUAGCGAGCUUUUGACCAACGACUCCCAGACCAUAAAAGACCUUAGGGCGUUAGGUGUAAAGACAAUCCCCUCGGGCGUACUUGUUCAAGUAACAAAGGCCCCGAAACAAGACUAGUCACGAUAUAUAUAUAUAUAUAUAUAUAUAUAUAUAUAUAUAUAUCUUAUAUACCCCACAUAUAAUCCCCCAAACUUAGGUUCUUGCCUAAUUUUUCCCUUUACUGUCUAUCCUUGUCAUUUUCUCAUUCACUCUAGNNNNNNNNNNNNNNNNNNNNNNNNNNNNNNNNNNNNNNNNNNNNNNNNNNNNNNNNNNNNNNNNNNNNNNNNNNNNNNNNNNNNNNNNNNNNNNNNNNNNCUAGCAUUAUCCUUUAGAAACUAUUUAUAUAUCAAUUUGAGCUAACUAGUCAACAAAGAUGUUUAUUAAUCAUGCUAACCUUUUUAUACUAGUUUCAAUUGAGCGCAAGAUUCGACUCAUAACAGAAAUUGUAUCACAGUUCUAGUAAUCAACACUAUAUUGGUUAACUUAUUAUCAAUCUCAUCAUUGGCCCACAAAUAACAUGAACUACCACACUGCUGGACUUAUGCAAACACAAUAUUUAAGUAACUUUUUUUUUCUUUUAAAUAAAAAAAUACACUAUUUACAAAACUAAAAAAAAUGCAAUGAGAAAAAUAACCUAAGCUACUAUGCAUGCAUUUCUUCCUAAAUUACUAUGCAAUAUUAAAAUUAACAUAACAAAUUUAAACCUAAGUACUACAUAUGCAUGCAAACAUGAAUUUAAAUCCCCCAAACUUAAGUAAUACAAUGUCCUCAUUGGAUGAAUAAUUAAAUUUAAGUGCAUGAGGACUUCCCUGCUAUCACUUAAGUCUGAGGAGGUGGUUGUUGAUCUUCCUCAUCUGAAUCACUCGGUGGAAACCUCGGCAUUGGCACGGGCUGCUGAUAUGGACAUUGGGCCGCCGAGUUGAAGCUUUGAAGGGUUGUGUUGAGUGAGGCGAAAGAUGCGUUCAUAGCAUCAAACAUAUGAUCUUGCCUUAAUGCGAGUCACUACAUUUCCUGACGUGCCGCCUUGUUGUGCGCAUUCAUUUGAUUUUGGAAAUCAAGGAACUGAGGACUGGAUAGUGCCUCGGUCUGUGGUACCUGCUCGGACCCAUUAAUCUCCCAUAGCUUCAUCUUCGUCCUCUGACGUCUCAGUAGCAUCAACUUCGUCUUCUGAAGCUGACGAAAAAAUAAAGCCCAAUCCACACGGAUUUGAUUCACCUCCUGCCCAUACAGAAUACCUCACUAUCAUUCUGGAAUCAAGCAACGCGAGCGACAUUUGUGUGGGCUCAUUGUCGGACCAUCGCACCCCUGCUUGAAGACACAACCCACAUAUGAGUGCAGGGUGUGGCAAGCCGCCCGAACAAUUUCCACGUAAACACCGGCGGAUGGAGAAACAGAUAAUGGCCCCGACGUCGAUGAUGAAAUCUUGUACAAUUGCGUACAGUAGUAACGCCUUUUCUUUGGUCACGUCCGAGGUGUGUUGGGACGGAUACAGUUUAGCGCAUAGGAAUGCAUACCAAAUUUUUCCAUACCGGCUGAGGUCCUUACUGUGGAAUACCGUGCCUCCCUUCCGACCUUUUAUCCAAGUUUUUCCUGGCUUUGUCAUCUCCUUGAGUAUGGCCUCAUUGUCCAGAUCAAAAUCACGUAACUGAGCAUAUUGGCAUUGUCGUGGUACCCGCAGUUGAUAGUAGGUGUUAAUUGCAUCGGCACUUAACGACACCAAGCGACCCCGCACAAACGCGUUGGAUGGAGCUUUAUCCUCAACGUUUGUAUAGAACUCCUUGACAAUGUUGACUAUAGCGGGUUCCAGAUCUUCGGUGAAUUUGGUCCACCCCUUUUGAUAGAUUUGAGGCUUCAGCUCCCCAUCAUUAGGAUCCAGUGCCAACCCCCGCUCCGGUGUGAGGGCCUUGGUGAGCAUGUAUUCAUACCGGUCGGUGGUGGCGGCACUCACAAAUUUUCGGCUAUCAAAGGUCCGGGUUGGUUGUGACGGCCUUGAACUCUCUCCCCUUUGGCGUUUCGAUGUUGGUUGUGAAGCCAUGUUCUCUCUAUUGCUUGACUCACACUACCUUGUCCCUCCAAAUUUGGUUGAUACACGCUGAAACUUGUCAAUUUGACCCUCAAUUAUGGUGAAUGAAGUUGUGUAACUUGAAAAUAGUGAUAUACUUGCCUCUCAAUUGCUCACAAAUAGCCUCUAUGAAUGCCCUAAUUCGAAAUUUGAUGAGUGUAGUUGAAGAGUGUUGUGAGGAAUAUGGGAUGAGAUGUGGUAAUAUAUAGAGGUGGGGAGAGGUAGUGGAGCAUUGGAAAUCGUGGGUGUAGUGGGUGGUUGGUGAAGGUUAUGGGGAGAUUUAAUUGAGGUAGUAGUUAUGGGAGUUAUGGAGUCUAGCAUAACUGCCAAAAUAAUCAGUUGAGUUCUAGGACCCCCGCCCCGGCAGGGGGUGCUAAGCUUAGACAGCCCACCCCGGCGGGCUUCGCUACUGCAAUUCGAGAUUAAGGACUGGGGCGGGGGGUGCAAGGCUUAUUGGGCUCGGCCCGGCGGGCAUAUCUACUGUUAAAAUUCUAGGAGGCCCCCGCCCCUAUGGGGGUUGUUGUAAGACCCCAACUUUUAUGAAUAAAGACGAUUUUUCUAUAAAUAUCAUUUUUAAAUAUUAUGGAAUGAAUUUGAUAUAAUGUUAUAGUUGUAGGUAAUAUUUAUAUAUUUUGCAAAGUACGCAAGUUGUUAUAUAAUAUUCGAUUGGUCGGGGAAUAUUCGUUUUAACAGGGAAUAUUCGUACAAUGACACAAUCAUUAGUGGACCCCAAAACGGAAUUAUUGUCGGAUUGAGAAAAUGAUAAAAAUAUUUUAUAAAAAUAACGGCGGAAGUUUUACCGUUAACUGUUGAAACACCCGGUGUUAAAAGUACAGUAAUACGCGUGGUUGUAUAGUAGCAUACGGUAUUGAUUAUUGAUGCUUACGUGAGAAGUCACUCAGCUUUGUUCAAUUAUUGCUACAGUAAUUGCUGCAUAGUAUCUCACGUUAUUUGAUUCAAUUAUUGUCAAUAUUUUAUAUAUUAUUAAAUCAAUAAUUGAGACGACAAAGUUAUUAAUAUUAUUAUUUGCAAUAUUAACGAUGUCUAGAAGUUAUGUUAAGGAGAGGUUUUAUAAUACCCGGUAAAAAAAAAUAAUAAUAAAAAAAUAAUAUUUAAAUCCAUAUUUUAAUUGGGCUUUUCUUAUGUUUGGGUCAAAUUGUAUUAAAUUUGUAUGAACUAUAAUAAGUAUGUGAUUACAUUAAUUUGGGCCUUUAUACUAAUUAAGUCAAACUAAUUUUAAAUUAUUUAAGUUGGGUUUGUUAAACUAUUUGAGCCCAAUUUUAUUUGUUGGGUUUUAAUUUUUUUUUUUUUUUAAGUUUCUCGGAUAAUAUUCAGCCCUUUCCAUUUGCAGUGUCCUUAGGUUUCUUCCAAAUCUUUGUAGGCACAAAACCCUAAUUCUUUUCCUCUGAUCCUCCGCGCGAAGCUCUAGUGGGGUUUGUGGUGAACCCUAGUGUUGGUAUUGUAAUUUUUGGUGAGUUGGGGUAUAAUUUGUUUGAACUAAAAGCAUGGUUGAUGAAGAAAGAGAUGCUGAUUUUGUGGUGGGUAUUGGGUUGAAGAGUGAGGCACUGAAUAAUGGGUCUGUAAUUGAAAUGGAGAAUGGGGGCAGUGUUGAUCAAGGGAAUUCUGCGGGUUCGUCUGGUGUUCAAACCUAUAGGAGGCGGAAGUGUGCGAAGAUGAGUAGUAGUUCAGAGGACAAAUUGAUCGAGAAUUGGAAGGUUUCUACAAAUUCAGAAAGCCACCAAGGAGCUUAAUUCGGUUGGCGAUGAUAUCAAUAUUGUGAACAGAGGUAAAUGAUACAAUGGUAAUUUUAUUAUGUAUCUAAAAAUAAAAUCUUUGUUCAGAACGGAAGAGAAUUAUCAAUAGAUGUAUAUAGUUAUAGAAUUUAUAAAUUUACAGAUUUUUACUAUAUUAAUAUGAUUAAUAAUGAUAAUAUGAGUUUAAAAAAAUUAGUAAUUAAUAAUUUAACGCAUAGUUUAUUAAUUUAUUUUAAUAAUUUGUGUAAUUAGUUCGAUCGGAGGGAAUUUAAAGAGUUAUAAUUGGAAUAUAAAUUUUGGAGUAUUAAUAAUUGAUAAAAGGCGAUGAUUAAAGGCAUAUUAAAUAGAUUAUGAAUUAUUUUGGAAUUAUUAGUUUGAAUUAUUUUUAAUUUGAGGUGAAUAUGUUUAGGUAACGAAUAACGUUUCGUAUUUGAUAUCGUUGGCAUUUGAGGGUAAGAUUGUGUGGAAUGUGCUAUAAAUGGUUUGCAAAUAUCAGGUACGGAUUCCGUACUCUUUCAGCGAUACUCUUGUUAAAUUUGAUUUGUUUGUUUGUUUCUUUAUUUCGAAUUCUAUUAUGGUUUCACAUAAUUGUUUCCUGUGAAAUAAAUAUAUUAGUUUCAUUUUAGAGUUGAUAUGUAUGACUCGUAUUUGCACUCUUUGAAUUAGGUUAUCAUGUUUAGUAUUAUUUAUUUUGAUAAUUAUAGAACGGUAUAUGUUGCUACCUUCCUUUUGAAACCUUGUGACUAUAAUUUGAUUUGGUUCAAUAUGUACACAUAGAACCCUUUUGUUGGAAUUAUGUCGCAUGUGUUGUGACAUGAUAUUUUUGUUAGAAUAUAUCGUAGGGUAUACCUGAGCUAUAACCACCUGUGUGGGUACCACAAGCAUAUCAUCUUGGCACGAGAGGCAUGACACUUUCCGUGGCGGUGUGAUUAGUCCACGGCGUCUCCGUUUGGGCUCCGGAGGAAGUGGGCCAUUUGGUGUUUUGAUGUGGGAGGCGUAUGGGUUAACCCUAGUUUUUUGUUCUGCGGAUUUGUGAUGUUGUGCCAAACACACUUAUCCGAUUUGCAUACAUUUGGAUUCGCGGUCCAAUGUGUGAUUUGCCUGUGUGGCAUUAUUUUGGUUGCCUGUGUGACAUUAUUUUGACUUACUUGUGUGGCAUUGUUUUGAUGUGCCUACGUGGCAUUAUUUUGGUUGCCUGUGUGGCAUCAUUUGAUUUGCCUGUGUGGCAUUAGUUUGAUUUGCCUGUGUGGUAAGAUAUAUUUUUGAGCUCACUCGGUAUGAAAUAACCCCAGCCAUUUAUUUUAGCCUAUUAUUUUAUUGUAUUAGUUUUGUUUAUUUCUGUUCAGUUCAAUUCAUUGAGUUAGUUACUUCAGUUCGUUAUUUCUUUAUUCGUCUAUUGGUUUUGUCAAUUCUAUUGAUUCAGAUAUAUUUCAUUCAGAUCUUUGGAGAUUAUAUUUUCGUCGGUAUUUACACUUGAGGCUUUGUUCAGUAUUUUGUCUCAGUUGUUUAUGUAUAUUAGUUGUAUACCUUUUGUUUAUCUGUAUCCGUACUGGGCAAUUGGCUCAUGCUGUGUUUUUCUUCCGGCAGGUUUGUAGGGGUGAUUCAGGGCUAGUGUGAUGAGAGAGUUUUCUUUAACCAUCUAGGUUGUUUCAAAUUUUAAGUUUUGAUUAUUUUGACUCUAUUUGGAGAAUUGUAUUUAGUACGCUAUUAAUGGAUCACCACUAUUAAUAUUUUGAGGUUAUUAGUGCUCUAUUUUCUUAUUUUGAGGUUUGUUGUGCUUUGCACGUAACCUCCCUUUCCUUUUCGGGAAGGGGGUGUUAUAGAGAUGGUAUCAGAGCUUAGGUUCUUCCUUGUAGGAAACCUAUUUAGGUUUGACCCGUGAGUUAUGGGUAAACCAUUGGGUAGACGUAGAAGUUUGGUUCGAUUUUGUUCCUUGUUUGGUUGGUCUCUAAUUUGACCAACUGUCGAUUUCUUUUCAAUUUGUAGUUGAUUUGAGGAAAAUGGAAUAAUAUGUUAAAGUGAUUGAGUAAUGAUAUUAGUUAGGGAUUGUGAUUUAAUCAUUGAGGUGAAUAAAGUUACACUUUGUACAGAUAAGAAAUGAUCUUAUAUGAGAUGUGAUUAUGAUGUGAGUAUUUGUAUAUUUCGACGAGUAUUUGAUUUUGAAAAAUUAAUCUUCUAGAGUUGUUUUUUUUGUGAGAAUUAUUAUGAUCAUUUAAUUGAGGAUUUGAUUUGAGUUAAGUUUUGAUUUAUGUUAAGCUUGUGGAUAAUUUGAGGUUUGUGUAUUGAUGGUAUACUAUGAUAAAAUGAAAAUUACUAAGUAUAUAGGAUCUUUUAUAAAUUUGAGUAAUUGAUAUUUGAGGUAAUUAGAUUAAUCAUUUGGAGUUACUGAUCAAAUUUGUGGCUAUUUUCUAGUAGGAUGUUGGAGUUAUAUUCUAUGAACUUUUUUUGUGAUAGUAUGGGGAGACAUUGAAAUUUAUUGGAUUAAGGUUUACAAUAAGGGAGGAUUGAUUUAUUAUAUAAUUAGAUAGUAAGUGAUAGAAUUCAAUUGAUUUAGAGAGAUCUUGAAUAUUUAUAAAUUUGCUUACGCAGAUAGUAGAAUAUUUGACUUAGUGUUUGAUAUGACGAUAAAGAGAUCUUAGUAGUAUAUUCUUUGGUGUAAUAAUAUUUAAGAACUAGCUAGUUCAAAUUGAGGUUUGAAUAUUUUGAAACUCUUGAAGACUUAAUGAGAGUUGGUGAUAUAAUUUAAGUUGUUUUGUUUAUCUGAUGCCCUUAGAGCUUUGCAUGAAUUUAUGUAAAAUUUAAUAAAAAUAAUUUGUUAAAUCUUUGUCAUGUGUGGAACAUAAACGUUUUACGAAUUAAAAAUAAUUUUAAAUAUUUUGGGUAUUCGAAUCAUAUUUAGAUGAAGAAAUUUUUUGUUUUUUUUUGUUUCGAAUUAUGUUCCGAAGAGUAUGUACAUUUGCAAAAAUGAAACUCAAAGAUAUUAAUGGGUGAGGGCCCGCACCAACAGUGGAUCAUGUGAUUUAACGCGAAGAACCUUACUAAGACUUGACACGAUAGCUGACGAAUCUUUUACGAGUACAGGAAUAAUUACGUGGACCGAUGACUUAUCCGCGUUGAUCGUUACAAAUGGCGACGCUAUGUCGUAACUAAAUUUAAUUAUAUUUUUUUGUAGCUUAUUUGAAUUCCGAGGACAUAAUUAUUUUUAAGGGGUGAAAAAUGUAAUAACCCGUAUUUUUUUAAAAAUUAAAUAUUAAUUAAUUUCUUAUUGUAUACAAUUGUAUUUAAAUUAGAAAAGGUAAAUGAUUUUUGUUUCCUUCUUUUCUUCCUUCUUUUGUUUGGAAAAUUAAAUUCUUUUAGUUGGUAAUUAAAUAACUGAUUAAAUUAAAAUUGAGAAAGAUAAUUCCUUUUGUUAAAAAAAAUAAGUCUCGUGGUAAAAUUAUUUAGAGCGGGAAGCUACUUGAGAGAUAGAGGAGUCUAUUCGAGCGGAGUAUCCGCAUCUUUUGAUAAUUAGGUAAGUUCAUUCUUUUGAUUCCGGGGACAGAAUCCUUUUUAAGGGGUAGGUGAUGUAAUACCCGGUAAAAAUAAAUAAUAAAUAAAUAAUAUUUAAAUCCAUAUUUUAAUUGGGCUUUUCUUAUGUUUGGGUCAAAUUGUAUUAAAUUUGUGUGAACUAUAAUAAGUAUGUGAUUACAUUAAUUUGGGACAUUAUACUAAUUAAGUCAAACUAAUUUUAAAUUAUUUAAGUUGGGUUUGUUAAACUAUUUGAGCCCAAUUUUAUUUGUUGGGUUUUAAUUUUUUUUUUUUAAAGUUUCUCGGAUAAUAUUCAGCCCUUUCCAUUUGCAGUGUCCUUAGGUUUUUUCCAAAUCUUUGUAGGCUCAAAACCCUAAUUCUUUUCCUCCGAUCCUCCGCCCGAAGCUCCAGUGGGGUUUGUGGUGAACCCUAGUGUUGGAAUUAUAAUUUUUGCUGAGUUGGGGUCUAAUUUGUUUGAACUGAAAGCAUGGUUGAUGAAGAAAGAGAAAGAGAAAGAGAUGCUGAUUUUGUGUUGGGUAUUGGGUUGAAGAGUGAGGCACUGAAUAAUGGGUCUGUAAUUGAAAUGGAGAAUGGGGGCGGUGUUGAUCAGGGGAAUUCUGUGGGUUCGUCUGGUGUUCAAACCUAUAGGAGGCGGAAGCGUGCGAAGAUGAGUAGUAGUUCAGAGGAUAAAUUGAUCGAGAAUUGGAAGGUUUCUAUAAAUUCAGAAAGCCACCAAAGAGCUUAAUUCGGUUGGCGAUGAUAUCAAUAUUGUGAACGGAGGUAAAUGAUACAAUGGUAAUUUUAUUAUGUAUCUAAAAAUAAAAUCUUUGUUCGGAACGGAAGAGAAUUAUCAAGAGAUGUAUAUAGUUAUAGAAUUUAUAAAUUUACAGAUUUUUACUAUAUUAAUAUGAUUAAUAAUAAUAAUAAUAUGAGUUUAAAAAAAAUUAGUAAUUAAUAAUUUAACGCAUAGUUUAUUAAUGUAUUUUAAUAAUUUGUUUAAUUAGUUCGAUUGGUGGGAAUUUAAAGAGUUAUAAUUGGAAUAUAAAUUUUGGAGUAUUAAUAAUUGAUAAAAGGCGAUGAUUAAAGGCAUAUUAAAUAGAUUAUAAAUUAUUUUGGAAUUAUUAGUUUGGAUUAUUUUUAAUUCAAGGUGAAUAUGUUUAGGUUGCGAAUAACGUUUCGUAUUUGAUAUCGUUGGCAUUUGAGGGUAAGAUUUUGUGGAAUGUGCUAUAAAUGGUUUGGAAAUAUCAGGUACAGAUUCCGUACUCUUUCAGCGAUACUCUUGUUAAAUUUGAUUUGUUCGUUUGUUUCUUUAUCUCGAAUUCUAUUAUGAUUUCACAUAAUUGUUUCCUGUGAAAUAAAUAUAUUAGUUUCAUUUUAGAGUUGAUAUGUAUGACUCGUAUUUGCACUCUUUGAAUUAGGUUAUCAUGUUUAGUAUUAUUUAUUUUGAUAAUUGUAGAGCGGUACAUGUUGCUACCUUCCUUUUGAAACCUUAUGACUAUAAUUUGAUUUGGUUCAACAUGUACAUAUAGAACCCUUUUGUUGGUAUUAGGUCGCAUGUGUUGUGACAUGAUAUUUUUGUUAGAAUAUAUCGUAGGGUAUACCUGAGCUAUAACCACCUGUGGGGGUACCACAUGAAUGUCGUCUUGGCACGAGAGGCAUGACACUUUCCAUGGCGGUGUGAUUAGUCCACGGCAUCUCCGUUUGGGCUCCGGAGGAAGUGGGCCAUUUGGUGUUUUGAUGUGGGAGGCGUAUGGGUUAACCUUAGUUUUUUGUUCUGCAGAUUUGUGAUGUUGUGCCAAACACACUUAUCCGAUUUGCAUACAUUUGGAUUCGCGAUCCAAUGUGUGAUUUGCCUGUGUGGCAUUGUUUUGAUGUGCCUAUGUGGUAUUAUUGUGGUUGCCUAUGUGGCAUCAUUUGAUUUGCCUGUGUGGCAUUAGUUUGAUUUGCCUGUGUGGCAAGAUAUAUUUUUGAGCUCACUCGGUAUGAAAUAACCCCAACCAUUUGUUUCAUCCUAUUAUUUUAUUGUAUUUGUUUUGAUUGUUUCUAUUCAGUUCAAUUCAUUGAGUUAGUUACUUCAGUUCAUUAUUUCUUUAUUCGUCUAUUGGUUUUGUCAAUUCUGUUGAUUCAGAUAUAUUUCAUUCAGAUCUUUGGAGAUUAUAUUUUCGUCAGUAUUUACACUUGAGGCUUUAUUCUGUAUUUUGUCUCAGUUGUUUUCGUAUAUUAGUUGUAUACCUUUUGUAUAUCUGUAUCCGUACUGGGCAAUUGGCUCAUGCUGUGUUUUUCUUCUGGCAGGUUUGCAGGGGUGAUUCAGGGCUAGUGUGAUGAGAG